rnacentral:lncRNA from 1 species
GAUAUGGACUUCCUUCUCACGCACAAGACUUCUCAUGUCCCAGAAUUUUUCUUCAAAAAUCUUCUUCUUGCACGCCCCACUCUUCUCCUCCUUUUAUAACAACGUCAAAAGUCUUAUCCAAAAGAAAGGAUAAAGAUGAGUAAUUGCACAUUUGAAUUCAAAUCAAAUUUUGAAUUCAAAUGGACACCAACUCAUCCCUUAUCCACUAAAGACAUGAGGCAUGGCUUAAAUUAUGCAUGGAAUGAUUUCAUGAGAAACUUUUUCUCAUAUAAUAAAUGGGGCGUAAAAAAAGGGAUAAGGUGCAAAGAUUGAUUGCCCAUUCAAAUUCAAACUUUAUUUUGAAUUUGAAUGGC